GUACUCUCUUUGGCAGCAUAUCUAUUAAAACUGGAAUGAUACAGAGAAGAUUAAGGAGGCCCCUGUUGCAAUGAUGACAUGCAAAUUCAUGAAGUGAUACAUAUUUAA